rnacentral:lncRNA from 1 species
AGAUCUCCAUGUCAGAGAGAGAGAAUAAACGUUUAUUUGGAGCAAGCGCGCUGUUCUCCAUAGGCCAUUAUGAGAGGGAGUGCCGUGUACGUUGGUGGCAUUCUGCUUGGUUCACUUUUUUGCAUAUACGGAGGAACGCAAACACAUUAUGGCCGUAGCUGCAACACUUCUGCUCAGCAAGGGGGAACACUCUGCUGCUUUCAGAAUGUCACUGCAUGUUAUUGCACACUUGCUCUACAAGGAAAAUCAUGCAACGACAUUUUUCAAAACAAAUGUACGUUUCCUCGAAUGCUUACCUGCCGUAAAGAAUACCAAUAUAAUUUGUGCUAUUGCGUUGCUACUCCGUAAGGAUAGAAGCUCCUGAUAAUUAUUGCAGUUUUUAAUUAUCCAGUUUUAUUGAGAAUAGUCACCAAUAUUCACAAGGACGCCUUUUUGGUAUGACAUUGCGCUAUAAGGACAUGUAUAUAUAAAACAUAUUUGACGUUGAC